rnacentral:ribozyme from 13 species
GAGAAAGAGAGAGAGAAAAGGAAAGGAAAAGAGAGCAAGAAAGAAAAAAAGGAUUCCUUGGGGUUCUCACAAAGGAGGUCCUGUUUUUUGUUUUGGUUUUGUUU